GACAGAGGUGCCGAGCGUUAGGCGGAAUCACUGGGCUUAAAGCGUGUGUAGGCGGAUCUGUAAGUACCUUGUGAAAUCCCACGGCUCAACCGUGGAACUGCUUGGUAUACUGCGGGUCUUGAGCCACCUAGGGGCAAGUGGAACAAACGGUGGAGCGGUGAAAUGCGUAGAUAUCGUUUGGAACGCCAAUGGUGAAAACAGGUAGCUGGGAGUGUGCCGACGCUGAGACACGAAAGCCAGGGGAGCGAACGGG
rnacentral:rRNA from 1 species